rnacentral:rRNA from 1 species
UACGGAGGAUGCGAGCGUUAUCCGGAUUUAUUGGGUUUAAAGGGUGCGUAGGCGGUCCGGAAAGUCAGCGGUAAAAGCCCGGGGCUCAACCCCGGCGAGCCGUUGAAACUGUCGGACUAGAGACGGCGAGAAGUACGCGGAAUGCGCGGUGUAGCGGUGAAAUGCAUAGAUAUCGCGCAGAACUCCGAUUGCGAAGGCAGCGUACCGGCGCCGGACUGACGCUGAGGCACGAAAGCGUGGGGAGCAAAUAGG